UCGGGAAUAUUGCGCAAUGGAGGAAACUCUGACGCAGUGACGCCGCGUAUAGGAAGAAGGUUUUCGGAUUGUAAACUAUUGUCGUUAGGGAAGAUACAAGACAGUACCUAAGGAGGAAGCCCCGGCUAACUAUGUGCCAGCAGCCGCGGUAAUACAUAGGGGGCAAGCGUUAUCCGGAAUUAUUGGGUGUAAAGGGUGCGUAGACGGAGAAACAAGUUGGUUGUGAAAUCCCUCGGCUCAACUGAGGAACUGCAACCAAAACUAUUUCCCUUGAGUGUCGGAGAGGAAAGUGGAAUUCCUAGU
rnacentral:rRNA from 1 species